UGUGCAAGCAUGAAGCUGUCAUGGCCCAGGUUUUGAGGUCAGAGGACAACUUUGAGUGUGUGUCAGCCAUUGUCUUCCUCCUAGUUUGACACAGGGACUCUUGUUCACCACUGAAUGCUAAGACAUCUGGCCUUGGAGUUGCAGAGGUUUGUCAGUUUCAGCUCCCAUAAAAGCCAUGAGAGUGCUGGGAUUGCAGAUGCAUGCCACAUCUGGCUUUACAUGGGCUUGGGGAGCAGACUUUGGAUCCUCGGGCUUGCCCAGCAAGUGCUUCAUACAGCGCGCCAUCUCCUUGGCCCUAGCUUGGGUUGUAUUUUAAUUCAAGGAAAGCACAGUCAUGUCCUGGUUAGGAAAAGAAGAGGUGUAGCCACCCACACUCCUCUCACCCAAAAACUAUCUCAGAGCGGUAAAUGAUUGGGAGUGGAAGCUUGGCUGGAGCAGGCCCACCUCCCUUCUUAGACACAAGCACACCAAAGCUGCUGAGAAAAGUGGUGUCUUAUUUGUAGUCCUGGUCACAUUUGGUGGCAGUCAGCAGGCUGUUCAGCAGAGUGUCUAUUUUGUGACACGCUGUGAUAUUUAAGCAAGGGAAUGAGUGACAGAGAAGCCCCUGGCCCCUGAACACCUCUGUGUGGUGUCAUCAUACAGCUUGGUGAGAGGCUUUGGCAGCCUAGCUGAAAUCAGCCCUCACUGAUCUAGGUGUCUCUCAGGCUGGAUGGAGGAGAGGGAGUGAGGGUAGAGAGGCAGAAAAAAUCUGAAAGGGAAAGACUCUUGUCUUUCAGGCUGGAACCCAAAAAGAAACAGAAUUUUGAUACCUGCUACACUGUGAGUCUUGAGACUAUUACAUUCAAUAAAAGAAACCAGAUACAAAAGCUGCGUGUCAUUUAAUCCUGUUCGUGUGGCUUGCUGAGAGAGGCAGAUCAUAAAAGACUGACAGUGGAUUCAUACUCGCUGGGCUCUGGGAGAAGGAAAGCACUCAGGGGAUUGCCAAACAAAGUCCAGAUUCCUUGGGACACCAUUCAGAACUGUUAACAGACAGACUUUACUGGCUUUCGGAAUAUCUUGUGAAACUUAGAUCUGGCUGUCUGUAGUUUGGCUGUCUUAUUCCCCACAGACCCACGUGACAAGAUGUCUAGGUGCCAGCUAGGAACUGUGGUAAGAGGGCUUAAGCCCCCGGUUUACUCCGUUUUUCUCCCACACUUGCUAGAAUUUCCUUCACGGAGCAUGAUGGAACUGGUGUAAAAUCCACAGCCUGCUGUCACUUUGGAGACAUGGGAACAGGCUUCUAGCUCACUCGGCCUCGGGUCGUUCCCUAUUCUCGGAAUAGUCUCCUCAUUGUCCACAGAAACUUCCCAUUCUCCAUUACUGCAUCUCCUGAGGGCGGCAGCCGCAGCCAGAGCUGCCUCCCAGCAGGCCCGAAUGACAUUUUCCCUGUUUACCGAUGAUGGAGUCCCUGUCUGCAAUAGGCUGGUGUCUGCACAUGCUUCUUUCUCACGGGGAUACACAGUCAGAGCUUUCAGGAUUUACCACUGAUCCAGAGCUUGACAGAGAGCGAGAGCUAGCUCCCUGAAGUCACGUCCACUUUUGCUGAGUAGGAGUGGAGGUGUGAGUGGACACCUUAAGGCACAGCCAAGAGAACCAUGUGAACUGGAGAAGGCAAUUGGAGUGUUUGCUCUGGACCCUCCAGGACAGAUGCUUUCUACUCCUUCGCAGGGGUUACCAGACAAGAGAUUCCAGUAGGGUGCGGCUCGGACAUUCCAGGUGUGCCCGUCUAACAAUGGGAGUGACAGAGAAACUCCAACCGUCAGCAUUGGCUGUGUCACUAGGACAAGGGCGUGACAGUCCCGCAGCCGGUGGAGUGUCCUGUUCUUGAUGAAAUCCGACUCGUUCUGCGUUGGUAGACGUGCUGAACAGAAGACCUUAUUAGUCCAUUGUGACUGGUUCCAGUUGGGAGCUACUGGGUCUUUAGUAGUUAAAAUAGUGUCAGGCAUAA
rnacentral:sRNA from 1 species